CUACGGGCCGCAGCAGUGAGGAGUUUUGCGCAAUGGGGGAAACCCUGACGCAGCAACGCCGCGUGAGCGAAGAAGGCCUUCGGGUCGUAAAGCUCUGUCAAGUGGGAAAAACGUUUUCCGGUAAAUAGCCGGGAGAUCUGAUGGUACCGCUGAAGGAAGCACCGGCUAACUCCGUGCCAGCAGCCGCGGUAAUACGGAGGGUGCAAGCGUUGUUCGGAAUUAUUGGGCGUAAAGAGCGGGUAGGCGGUUUGGUAAGUCAGAUGUGAAAGCCCUGGGCUUAACCCAGGAAGUGCAUUUGAAACUGCUUUACUUGAGUAUGGGAGAGGAGAGUGGAAUUCCUGGUGUAGAGGUGAAAUUCGUAGAUAUCAGGAGGAACAUCUGUGGCGAAGGCGACUCUCUGGACCAAUACUGACGCUGAGACGCGAAAGCGUGGGUAGCAAACAGGAUUAGAUACCCGCGUAGUC
rnacentral:rRNA from 1 species